rnacentral:rRNA from 1 species
UACGAAGGGGGCUAGCGUUGUUCGGAAUUACUGGGCGUAAAGCGCACGUAGGCGGACGCUUAAGUCAGGGGUGAAAUCCCGGGGCUCAACCCCGGAACUGCCUUUGAUACUGGGUGUCUGGAGGGCGAGAGAGGUGAGUGGAAUUCCGAGUGUAGAGGUGAAAUUCGUAGAUAUUCGGAGGAACACCAGUGGCGAAGGCGGCUCACUGGCUCGAUACUGACGCUGAGGUGCGAAAGCGUGGGGAGCAAACAGG